rnacentral:rRNA from 1 species
UACGGAGGGUGCGAGCGUUAUCCGGAAUUACUGGGUUUAAAGGGUGCGUAGGCGGCCCUGUAAGUCAGUGGUGAAAUAUCUCAGCUUAACUGAGAGGGUGCCAUUGAUACUGCAGGGCUUGAGUACAGAUGAGGUAGGCGGAAUUGACGGUGUAGCGGUGAAAUGCAUAGAUAUCGUCAAGAACACCGAUAGCGAAGGCAGCUUACCAAGCUGUAACUGACACUGAGGCACGAAAGUGUGGGGAUCAAACAGG